rnacentral:tRNA from 1 species
GGUAGUUCAUGGUAGAAUUCUUGCCUUCCAUACAGGAGACCUGGGUUCAGUUCCCAGCC